rnacentral:rRNA from 1 species
AUGGUGUGCGCCGUGGGCCUCCUCACCGCCUGCAUGUCGGCCGCGUCGGCCAUCUACAAGGCGCCAGCCGGCAUCUUCGUCGGCCACAGGUGGGCCUACUAUGCCUCCGUCGUCGUCGCGGGCGUCAUCGGGCUGGCGGAGGCCUGCGCCGCGGUCGUCUGGCUAUCAGACGAGCAGCAGCCGCAGCAGCGUUUUGCACGCCGCUGUGUGCUGUGCGCUUCACUCCUGCCACUGGCGUUCAUGGCGGGGAUCGGUGGAGUCCGUAUACUUGUCAAGUAG